UGCACCAGGGACAAUGAGCAUGGAGAUGGUGUUGUGAGUGGCAGAGACGAAAGAGGGCGCUACACACCCUGGGAAGAACAGAGGAGCUCCUCAAGUGCACUUUGCCUUGAGAAUGUGACGGAAUGUUAACACCCAUGAUGGACCACCCAGCCAACAAGCUCCAAACUAACUUGCCUUUUUUGUGCAAUAUUUUUGAGGCAAGUGAAGACCCUUUUCGAAAUGAAGAGCCUGUAUUUUUUUUAACAAUCCACCAUUUGGAGGCCUUACCCCACUCAGUGGAUCCCAGGUUGAGACCUCCUCCUAAGCCUUUCUUCCAGUCCAGGAAGAUGGUUCCAGGUUGACCUGUGCCUGGCCUACUAGUUCCCAGCCAGGCAUGCAAAUGUAGGAAAGGUUUAUCUUACCUUAAUUUUUUACUGUAACCUCUCAUAAGGCAGUGAGCUAAGAAGCAUCUUGACGGUAAAACUUUCUGCGAGUCAUCUUCACUUCCACUGCAUACCUAUCCUUUUUGGCAUGAUAAAUGAGUCUUGCAUGACAUUGCGAGUCAUAUUACACAUUUCCCCUAGUGAGUACACAUUUAUAUGAAUAUUAUCACCUCUGCAUCAGAGGAUUCAACACCGAUGACCACAGACUGGGUGGCCACAAUGUUGUGUUGACAAUUAGUGUAACAUUGUGUUGAACAGAUAAAGUCAGGUAGGUAAGCUCCAUAGGGUCUCAUCCCGUGUCAGUUUUUCUGUGUAUAACAUGACGUUUUAAUCCACAUGACAUUAUUAUUAUUAUUAUAUAACUGUAUGUUGGUGUCCUAAUUCAAUGUUGAUGACUUCACAAUAAACAAGGCAAAUUUGAUCAUUGAAAGCCAGGCAGCUACAGUACAGCGCUACACUCUGGGGGCAUGAGCAUGGGGGCGAACGGUACUUGCCGUACUCUGAGCAGGUCUUAUUGCUCGUAAAAAAAGCCAUAGGAAGAUGGUGUUCGGGUAGGAACACUGCCCCCC